AUAGAAAUGAAUGAGCGGUCCCCAUAAAGAUAUGUUUACCCGACUGUGUGUGUGUGUGUGUGUGUGUGUGUGUGUGUUUAGCAAAAUGUCAAGACAACCUCUUAGAAGUUGAAUUUCGUGGAAUUUAAUUAAAUUCAAUUCUGCCACCUGUCAGUCCAAUUCAAUUCCAAUUCUGUUUUCCCUGAGCAGGGAGAUAUUCUAAGGUCAAUUUCAACUCCAGGAAGUGAAUUGGAAUUUAUCAUGCAUUAUUAAUUCAAUUAAAGUAUGGCCCCAACCCUGGUAAAAACUGCAACUGAAGUUAUAGUAGAAAUAAAUCAUACAUCCUUAGAAUGUUGUUGUUAUCAUUGACCUAUUCCUUUGCAAGCAGUCCCACACCACAACGCUUGAAAAUGUACAUGAAGUCUCCUGGAAGAGAUAAUGUCUCGCUGUCACUGACAUUUCUGGGGAAGAAAAUUCACAGCUGCAUUGACCCAGCUGUAAAACCAAGUACCUGGGAAACCACAGCUCUACCUUCUAAUUUGGAAGCUUCCAUGCCAGGCUCUGGGCCUGGUCAUUCCCAGAAUUUGAUUUUUGGCCCUGAAGAACUUCCUGGCAGCGUGCCACACCUUAGGGAAGACGUGCCGCCAGAAUCGCAAUGCACUGUUCACAGCACACGCCUAGACAAAGACACUGAAUCAGACUCAUGGUUGAAGAAAAACAAGGUUGGAUGGAAUGUCUUUAAGCAAUGGAUGAGAGCGGACAGGAAGAUUGGACUUCAAGCACGUGAUGUUAUGAGAGCCGGAGAGAAACGCGAGGAAGAAGAUGCUAGUUUAAAAAUAUUUAUUCCCUAUGAUUCAGCCAAGUUGUGCGUCACUCAGAUCAUAGAAGACAUGGAAUUUAUGAAAAGAAGACAUUUGGAAAUUGUCAACGAGCUUGAAGAGAGCUAUAUAAAUGCAGCAAAAAACAAUCAGGAAAAAAUAAUCCAAAAGGUCAAUGCUCAUUAUCAAAAUAAGCUCAUCUCCUUAAGGAGAAUGUUGGAUGUAUACCAGGAGAUGGCGGAGAAGAAAAACAUUUACUGUGAAGAAAGAAUAAAGACCUUAAAAAACCGCAACCAAAAACAUCUGGAAGAGAAAACAGCUCUUCAAGAGAAGAACCAGGCAGAUGCUGCCAAAUGGGAAAGAGAAAAGCUGGAAAUGCUUGAGCUCUUUUCCACAAGGUUAGACCUGCUCCACAAGCACCAGGCAUCCACAUUGCAGGAGCUUCAGAUGGCCAGGCAGGAACUGGGGAGUAUCCAGGUGAUGCUGAAGCCCACAUGUGCCAAUGAGGAGAUCAAUGUGACCUCCGUGAUGAGAACCGAUUUAUUACAGCCAGAGACAGAAGAUGGCGGAGAGAGUGAAAGUUGUGGUGGUAGCGGCGAGUUAACACUAGAGGGAGCACAAGCCCGUCUGGAAACUCUGAAGGAGAACCUGUACAAACGAGAGCGGGAGAUCACUGAGCUCCUUCAAGGAGAAAGGGAAAUGGAGAGGGAACAGACACUUAUUACAGCAAUACGAAUCCCAUGUACUGCCUUACUCAGAACAAUUAUACAAAAGGCCCAUGAUAUCUACCAGAACGUGGCUGAAGCACAGCUUCUGGUUGACCAUAUGGCGGAAGACAAUGGUCUGGAAUUAGCACAAGCCAAGGAGGUGCCUGACCAAGAGCAGAUGACUACAACAAAUCACAGACACCAGGGAGAGGACGAACCAGAGUGGGAAAGACUAACUGAGGAACAGCAUAGAAGAUGUACUUCGUUACAGAAAACUGAAGCCGUACACAUUGCCUUGGAAUGUAUCAAGAAAGGUUUAAUUCCUUCACUCUCAGAUGGUACUUGGAAGCUUGAACACAACUGCAGCGGGCCGGAUGAAGAACAUUGUCAGGUUCUUGAGAACAACAAUUUCAGAAUAAAAAGUUUGGGCCAGCAGCUGUUACAGCUACAAACUGAGUUCAAACAAGCCAGAGAAGAGACUAAGCGGAUAACUGAAAAUUACAACUCCGAAAGAACAAUGAGGAAAAAAUAUUUUAAUAUGGUGGAAGACAUGAAAGGGAAAAUCAGAGUGUUUUGUCGCAUAAGGCCCAUGAGCGAGGCUGAGACAAGCUGUGGAAGUAUCCCUGUUGUCGACUGCCUGGACGAUUACUCAGUCACAGUGGAAACUUCACGGGGCUUGAAGGAGUUCCAGUUCGAUAGAGUUUUCAACCCCACAAGUUCACAGGAAGACGUCUUCCAGGACAUAAGCAGGCUUAUUCAGUCUGCGAUAGAUGGGUAUAAUGUCUGCAUCUUUGCAUAUGGACAAACAGGCUCAGGAAAGACCUUCACCAUGGUCGGCGACAAAGAUCUGAAGAACCCAGGAAUCAUGCCGCGCACGUUUAGAACAAUAUUUCACAUCACGCAGGAAAACAGUUCCAAGUUUGAUUUCAAGGUCUCCAUGUGUAUGCUGGAACUGUACAACGAACGCCUGCUGGAUCUCUUCGUCAGUCCUGUCGAUGCACUCGGUAAAAGAAUAGAAAUUAAGAAGGACAGGAAGGGACUUGUGAUCGCUCACGGAGCGGAGACAAAGGACGCAGCCAGCGCUGAGGAGCUUCUGGCACUGUUUGAACAGGGCUGUUGUAAUCGACACAUUGCGGCCACAAAAAUGAACAUGGAGAGUUCCCGCUCUCAUCUAAUCGUUGGAAUCACCAUGGAGAGCAGAAACCACACCAAUGGCUGUGUAAGCUACGGGAAGCUGAGCCUGGUCGACCUGGCAGGAAGUGAACGGGUGGCGAAGACGGGAGCCAAGGAUGAGCAGCUUAAGGAGGCGAAUUCCAUCAAUAAAUCCCUGAGUGCUCUGGGUGAUGUCAUAUUUGCUCUGUCUACAGAGCAAGUUUAUGUCCCUUACCGAAACAACAAGUUAACCCAGUUCAUGCAGGACUCUCUGGGGGGAAAUGCCAAAACACUCAUGUUCGUCAACAUCUCCCCCGCCAGCUGCAAUACUGAGGAGACUCUCACCUCGUUAAGCUAUGCAACACGAGUCAAAGCAAUAACUAAUACGGCUCAAAAAAAUUCUGAGAGCAAAGAGAUUGCUCAUCUCAAAGAGAUCAUUCUGAAGUUAAAAUCGGGACAACCAGUGGAUGACGAUGUGUGAUUAUAUAUGUUCAGUGGCGGAAAUACAAAUAUCGUACAUGAAAAACACAUGGCAAUGAGAGGAUCAGUGAUAUCUCGGAUGCAAUUCUGCGAGCACAACUGUUUUGUUUAUUUUUUAUUUACUUCUCAACAUUAUAAAUUUGCUUGCCAUAAUAUAAACUCUUUCCUGUGCAUACUUCAUAAAUAUAUAUUUCUACAUUGAUGUAAACUAUUUGAAUACUAGCAAAAAAUGUUAAUGGAUUAAAGAUCUAUUAUUAAGUUUUUUCUUUAUACAAACUUAUACCAGUCAUCAAAAGUUUCAUCCAGAGUGAAAUUCUGCAUCCACAGCGAUAAUAAAUCUUCCUUUUACUAUAUAAGCAAACUGUUACAGUGUACAGUGAGUCCAGUCACUGCAAAGGAAUGUUCCCUGUCCAUUUAAUAAAUGAAUGCAUAGAAUUAA